AUUAAAAAAAAUGGGAAAAAUGAAUUUAAAAAUGUUGAAAAAUCUCGUUCUGAUGAUAAAUUCUAGUGAAAAAUCCAUUUUGUAUACUUCAAUAGAGCAUUAUCUUCGUUGUUCGUAUGCGUAUCACAUGACUUUCGAAACCAAGGGCGUAGUGCUGUUUCUUGAAAAAAGUGGAAGGAUAAUAUCCACUUUUCAUUCGCAUUUUCCAGAUAUUUAAUGAUUUCUAUCGAAAAUGUGUACAGGUAUGAGAAGUCCGGAAUUAUCAAUAGUACAUUCACCUGCAUAAUAUUAUCGAUUUUCUACUAAAAUAAAUUUGUUAAAUAUGUUAUAGGUAAAGCAAUAGAGUAAGUCGUGUAAAAAUAUACACCUAUAUUUAUAAAUGUUUCGCCC
rnacentral:lncRNA from 1 species